rnacentral:rRNA from 1 species
CGGGUGAGUAAUGUCUGGGAAACUGCCUGAUGGAGGGGGAUAACUGCUGGAAACGGUAGCUAAUACCGCAUAACGUCGCAAGACCAAAGAGGGGGACCUUCGGGCCUCUUGCCAUCGGAUGUGCCCAGAUGGGAUUAGCUAGUAGGUGGGGUAACGGCUCACCUAGGCGACGAUCCCUAGCUGGUCUGAGAGGAUGACCAGCCACACUGGAACUGAGCACGGUCCAG